rnacentral:rRNA from 1 species
AACGAACGCUGGCGGCAUGCCUAACACAUGCAAGUCGAACGAGAUCUUCGGGUCUAGUGGCGCACGGGUGCGUAACGCGUGGGAAUCUGCCCUUUGGUUCGGAAUAACAGUUGGAAACGACUGCUAAUACCGGAUGAUGACGAAAGUCCAAAGAUUUAUCGCCAGAGGAUGAGCCCGCGUAGGAUUAGAUAGUUGGUGUGGUAAAGGCGCACCAAGGCGACGAUACUUAGCUGGUCUGAGAGGAUAAUCAGCCACACUGGGACUGGGACACGGCCCAGACUCCUACGGGAGGCAGCAGUGGGGAAUAUUGGACAAUGGGCGAAAGCCUGAUCCAGCAAUGCCGCGUGAGUGAUGAAGGCCUUAGGGUUGUAAAGCUCUUUUACCCGGGAUGAUAAUGACAGUACCGGGAGAAUAAGCUCCGGCUAACUCCGUGCCAGCCGCCGCAGUAA